rnacentral:rRNA from 1 species
UAAGUGAAUAGUGAAACCUGGUGACUCAACCAUACAGACUAUUAUUCAAACUGUUAAACUCGAGAGUGGUAGAGGUAACUGGAAUUUCUAGUGUAGGAGUGAAAUCCGUAGAUAUUAGAAGGGACACCAAUGGCGUAGGCAGAUUACUGGACCAUUUCUGACGCUAAGGCACGAAAGCGUGGGGAGCGAACUGGAUUAGAUACCCAGGUAGUCCACGCCGUAAACGAUGGAUACUA